GUGUGUGUGUGUGUGUGUGUGUGUGUGUGUGUGUGUGUGUGUGUGUGUGUGUGUGUGUGUGUGUGUGUGUGUGUGUGUUGAUAAGUUUUAUUAUUAUUAUUAUUAAUAUAAAGAAUAUUCUACAGCUGUACAUACAGAUUCAGAUGAUCUGAACCAAUGGGGCUUAAAACACAUAAAAACACUGCACUUCUCUGAGCCAAAACUACCCACAAUCCACCUCUCCGCCCCAUACAAACACACUGACGUCACACUGUACUGAUGUACUCACACCAACAUCCACACGACCCACAAUGCACUGCGCUCAGUCCACAACAUUCAACCAAAGUGUUUUCUGCUUUAGUUUGUGUGAGUAUGAUGUUUGAGUUCGCUUUAUCAUUUCAGACUCAUGUUCACACACUUACAGACGCGAAGCGACGGCCGCUCUGUAUAAUGUGAAAUAAAUGGAUUAAUAAAUAUAUUUCCUGUUGUAAACUAGCUACAAUACUGAGAUGAUGAUUCAUUAAACUGUUUUAAUAAUG